UCCUACGGCCAUACCACCCUGAACAAGCCCGAUCCCAUCUGAUCUCGGAAGCUAAGCAGGGUAGGGCCUGGUUAGUAUUUGGAUGGGAGACCACCCAGGAAGACCAGGUGUUAUAGCCA
rnacentral:rRNA from 1 species